rnacentral:snRNA from 1 species
AGCCGCUCCGAUUGGACCAU